UGUGUAGGCGGUGCUCUAAGUCUGUUGUGAAAUCUCCCGGCUCAACUGGGAGGGUGCGGCGGAAACUGGAAUGCUAGAGGGUGGGAGAGGUAAGCGGAAUUCCUGGUGUAGCGGUGAAAUGCGUAGAUAUCAGGAGGAACACCUGUGGUGUAGACAGCUUACUGGACCACUUCUGACGCUGAGACACGAAAGCGUGGGUAGCAAACA
rnacentral:rRNA from 1 species